GAUGAACGCUGGCGGCGUGCCUAAUACAUGCAAGUCGAGCGAACAGACGAGGAGCUUGCUCUUCUGACGUUAGCGGCGGACGGGUGAGUAACACGUGGAUAACAUACCUAUAUGACUGGGAUAAUUUCGGGAAACCACAUAUAAUACCGGAUAAUAUAUUUAACCGCAUGGUUCAAUAGUGCAAGACGGGUUUGCUGUCUCUUAUAGACGAAUCCGCGUCGCCUUAGCUAGUUGGUAAGGUAACGGCUUACCAAGGCGACGAUGCGUAGCCGGUCUGAGAGGAUGAUCGGCCACACUGGAACUGAGACACGGUCCAGACUCCUACGGGAGGCAGCAGUAGGGAAUAUUCGGCAAUGGGCGAAAGCCUGACCCAGCCACACCGCGUGGGUGAAGAAGGUCUUCGGGUUGUAAAGCUCUUUUAUUGGGGAAGAAAAGCCGCAGAUGAAAAUCUGCCUGUCCUGACGGUACCCAAACAAAAAGCAACGGCUAACUACGUG
rnacentral:rRNA from 1 species